AUGUCUCCUCUGCCAUUCUCAGAUGAGGAAGAGGAUGAGGAGGCAGAUGAAGAGGAAGGUGAGGAGGCUGAUGAGGAGGAGGACGAGGAGGACGAGGAGGAGCCUACAGCAGGCGGUCUCCCUGCUGAGACCUGGGCACAGUUGUUCCAGCUGCACCCGGAGAUCCUGGCCCCUGUGCUGCCUGGCUGCGCCAAAAGGCUGAGCACCGUGUUGGGCAUGUACUGGUGGCCAACACUGGCUGCAGAGAGCUUCAUCCAGAACGGCCUGUGUGACAUCGGGCUGGACACUGAGCGGCUGGCAGACCUGAUAUGGCCUGUGCUGAGGGAUGAAGCUGAGCCGUUCAUCCAGGAGCUGGUCGACACCAUCGUGCGCCAAUGCAGCCAGGAGGCCCACAGACUGCUGGGUCUGCAGGGCGCCCACGUGUCUGGGGGGCAGGAGGAAGAACCUGCAGCCUGGGGGCAGGAGGCAGCCGUGUGGCUCCCCUGGGCCCGGAAGCGCCUCCCACGAGUGACCCUCCCAUCAAGGCCCGGACCCUAUGGCAGCACCGCAAGUUCCAGCAGAGAGGAGCAGCCCAGCACAGCAGGGGCUGACAUUCCUGCGAUAAACGAGGAGAUGGAGCCGGCGGCGGCAGCAGCUCCCUCUGCCCAGGGCAGCAGCCCCUCCACUCCCGGCCACUCUCCUGAGAGGGCCCGGCGGCCCCGUAAGAGAAGGGCUGGCAGUGACCUGGACCCACAGCAGCCCUGCAAGAAGCCACCCCGUCUGCAGGGCGUCCACGUGUCCGGAGGGCAGGAGGAGGGCCCUGCAGCCAGCGGGCAGGAGGACAGCUCUGUGGCCGCCCCUGGCCCCGCAGCCUCCCCACAGGUGACCUUCCCAUCAAGGCCCGGACUCUAUGGCAGCCCCUCGACGUCCAUCAGAGAGGAGCAGCCCGGCACGGCAGGGGCCGACAUUCGUGCGGUCCCAGUCACGGCCCCGCCGCACACACGGCGAGGGAAGCGAGCGGCCCCACGAGGAGAUGGAGCAGCUGGCAGCAGCAGAUCCCUCUGCUCAGGGCAGCAGCCCCUCCGCUCCUGGCCGCUCAGCUGUGACGGCCCGGCGGCCCCCUAA
rnacentral:lncRNA from 1 species